CUUAUUUCGCAGGGAGAAAACGGACCAUUCUGUUACUCCACUGGAAGUAGCAAUGAUGGYUCAGGAACUGAACGCCACCUUCCGCCAGCUCCCUGGGAUCGAUGCAAAUCGUCCCGUUUUCCUAUGAUGCCGCCACUCGGAACAGAAACAUCUUUUCUGAUGGGUGCUGGGGGUGAUUCCUAAAACUCAGUGARGUUAGCUCAGCCUGUUGGCUCUGCUCCCAGGGGGCAGACUUCACAGCACCCAGACGCUGGCCACACUCCGGGGCUGGGCGUCUAACUCUGCUAGAGAAACCUGAAGUGUUUCCAGGUUGAAGUUUAGAGGGGACGGAGCCCCCUGGAGACGGCUGUUCCCGUAGCUGGAGCUGGAGCUGGGUCUGUGUUCACGCACKCGGGACGCACCGUCAACCACAGCUCUGCCGAGGAAAGGUGCCAUCUGGAAGCCCCUUCCCCAAGGGGAGAGCAUGGCUCAGAGAGGCCCCCACCAGGGCAGGGGGUAGGGGCAAGAAGCUUUCCCUUGUGCCUUGGGUAUUGCAAAAGAAACUUGAGGAGCUGAGAGCUCUGCCCCAGUGAGCGAGGGACCACAGCCUCCCCUGUCCCAAGGGGAGGCUGUCCUCUGGAGUCUCUCAGUGCAUUCUCACACUUGUGAGCACCGGGAGGGCCACAGGAUGCAGGCACCUCCAGCCAAACAAGCGCACUGAACAGCUAGAGUCACUUCCAAAGUCCUCCAAGUCCCAGCGGGACCAGCCCCUGUCAGCACAACUCCAGAGCUUCCUGGGAAUGUGGGUAAACACUCUGGCAAGACACUCGCCCUGACAGCCGUGAUGAAUAGCUGGACUCGCUCUCCACCUGGCCCAGCUCGCUCCAAAUGCAAGCUCUGGAAAGAUCCUUUUCUCAUUUGCCCUUUGCAAAAUCCCACGUCUGGGAUAAAAGUCAAAGACAGCACUGGCGCAUCCCCACACCGAGACUUCUUUCCAAACCACAAAACAAGGGAGGCUGGACUUCCGAAGAGCUGCCCAGGGUGCUGGAGGGACGGUUCAGGUGCUUCGGGCCAACACGUGUUUUCAGAGUGAUGUAUUUGAAGACAGGCAGCAAGUGCUUCUGCACUUGGAUAUUUCUGCAUACAUAUUGAAUGUGGGAAGCUUAUUUGAGCAGUGUUUAAAAAAAACACUUUAUCUUUUAAUUUAAUGUUUAAAUUAAUUGGUUUUAUAACUCCUUUUAGAAGCUUCUUACAUUUCCGAGAGCAGUUAUUUUUUAAGUGGUGCUCUGUUUUAUUUUUGAGUGACACAUGAUGAUCGUAUACAUUGGAUGCCUUGCUUUCUCCCUUUCAUGUGGAAGUCUCAGGUGUCCUUUAYGUUCGUGUGGUCUCCACAGCCUCCGUUCGGAGAGCGGAGGCGGAGGAAKUCAGUGGGGUUGGAUAAUUGCAUUCAGCAGGUGCCUCAUACGGAGCAGCUCCUGUGAAUUAUUAAUGAUAAAUUCUUUGGGGAAAAAUAAAAAAAAAAAACUUCUUGGACUUUCUUUGUCG
rnacentral:lncRNA from 1 species